rnacentral:rRNA from 1 species
AGUCAGGAUGUUGGCUUAGAAGCAGCCAUCAUUUAAAGAAAGCGUAAUAGCUCACUGAUCGAGUCGUCCUGCGCGGAAGAUGUAACGGGGCUAAGCCAGUCACCGAAGCUGCGGAUAUAUUUCUCGUGAUUUAUCACUUGAUCUAUAUGGUAGGAGAGCGUUCUGUAAGCCUGCGAAGGUGUCUUGUAAAGGAUGCUGGAGGUAUCAGAAGUGCGAAUGCUGACAUGAGUAGCGAUAAUGGGGGUGAAAAGCCCCCACGCCGUAAGCCCAAGGUUUCCUGUUCAACGUUCAUCGGAGCAGGGUGAGUCGGCCCCUAAGGCGAGGCAGAGAUGCGUAGCUGAUGGGAAGCAGGUUAAUAUUCCUGCACCGUCGUAUGAUGCGAUGGGGGGACGGAUCGCGGAAGGUUGUCUGACUGUUGGAAUAGUCAGUUUCUGCUUCAUAGAAGGCACUUAGGCAAAUCCGGGUGCGUAAUUCAAGGGAGUGGGACGAGCGGCCUUGUGCUGCGAAGCAAUCGGAAGUGGUUCCAAGAAAAGCCUCUAAGCUUCAGUCAUACGAGACCGUACCGCAAACCGACACAGGUGGG